rnacentral:rRNA from 1 species
UUUCCUUCGGGACUGAUUAUUUUGUGACUGAGUGGCGGACGGGUGAGUAACGCGUGGGUAACCUGCCUCACACAGGGGGAUAACAGUUAGAAAUGACUGCUAAUACCGCAUAAGCGCACGGCAUCGCAUGAUGCAGUGUGAAAAACUCCGGUGGUGUGAGAUGGACCCGCGUCUGAUUAGUUAGUUGGUGGGGUAACGGCCUACCAAGGCGACGAUCAGUAGCCGACCUGAGAGGGUGACCGGCCACAUUGGGACUGAGACACGGCCCAAACUCC